GCUCCCUUAGCUCAGUUGGUCGAGAGCAUUCGCCUCAUAAGCGAGAGGUCGCCGGUUCAAGCCCGGCAGGGAGCA
rnacentral:tRNA from 5 species